UCUGUUCGGAGGACCAAAAUUUUUGCGGUCGGCGACUUGGGGCCCAAGGCGAACUCACUCGGGCCUUCUUUUAGGCCGAGCCUUAGGCGACUGAGGCACGCUUGGGCCAACCUUAUUUAAUGAGCUAACUCUAAUUAGAAAAGAUCCAAUCCUAGAUAUUCAAGAGUUGACUACAUAAAACCAAAAGUAGACUCCACUAUAUUUGACAAACUUUAACAACUAGUUUUCCAACACAUGCAGAAUGAAUUAAAUGGCCAUUAAUGAUCCAUCAAAGCUCUCCAACCAUCAAGAAAGCCUCUCAAGCCUCUUGACUUGAUAUAAAAGCUUCAAGAAUUAAAUGAAAAUAAGCUCUUUUGGAAUAUAUUAUUGAAAUGCAUUCAUUACAAGAGAACAACAUGUUCAUUUUAAGCAUUCAAUUUUAAAUCCAAAUAAGAAAGAGCUUAACUAGCAUAUAUUUAAUUGGGGGGCAAAGUUCCUUUCCUCU
rnacentral:lncRNA from 1 species